rnacentral:rRNA from 1 species
GACGAACGCUGGCGGCGUGCUUAACACAUGCAAGUCGAACGGAGUGGCGAACGGGUGAGUAACACGUGGGUGACCUGCCCUGCACUUCGGGAUAAGCCUGGGAAACUGGGUCUAAUACCGGCUAGUGUGGGUUGGGCCCGCGGCCUAUCAGCUUGUUGGUGGGGUAAGGGCUUACCAAGGCGGCGACGGGUAGCCGGCCUGAGAGGGGAGACGGCCACAUUGGGACGGAGACACGGCCCAGACGCCUACGGGAGGCAGCAGUGUGGAAUAUUGCACAAUGGGCGGAAGCGUGAUGCAGCGACGCCGCGUUGGGGAUGACGGCCUUCGGGUUGUAAACGCCUGUCACCUUCGACGCGGUAGAUGGAGAAGAAGCACCGGCUAACUACGUGCCAGCAGCCGCGGUAAUUC